AUUGAACGCUGGCGGCAGGCCUAACGCAUGCAAGUCGAGCGGAUGAGAAGAGCUUGCUCUUCGAUUCAGCGGCGGACGGGUGAGUAAUGCCUAGGAAUCUGCCUGGUAGUGGGGGACAACGUUUCGAAAGGAACGCUAAUACCGCAUACGUCCUACGGGAGAAAGCAGGGGACCUUCGGGCCUUGCGCUAUCAGAUGAGCCUAGGUCGGAUUAGCUAGUUGGUGAGGUAAUGGCUCACCAAGGCGACGAUCCGUAACUGGUCUGAGAGGAUGAUCAGUCACACUGGAACUGAGACACGGUCCAGACUCCUACGGGAGGCAGCAGUGGGGAAUAUUGGACAAUGGGCGAAAGCCUGAUCCAGCCAUGCCGCGUGUGUGAAGAAGGUCUUCGGAUUGUAAAGCACUUUAAGUUGGGGGGAAGGGCAGUAAGUUAAUACCUUGCUGUUUUGACGUUACCGACAGAAUAAGCACCGGCUAACUCUGUGCCAGCAGCCGCAGUAAUAC
rnacentral:rRNA from 1 species